rnacentral:rRNA from 1 species
AUUACCUCAGUAACGGCGAGUGAAGCGGUAAUAGCUCAAAUUUGAAAUCUGGCUCUUUCAGGGUCCGAGUUGUAAUUUGUAGAGGAUGUUUCGGGCACGGUUGCGGUUUAAAUUUCUUGGAACAGAAUGUCAAAGAGGGUGAGAGUCCCGUCUUGAACCGAUUACUUCGUCCAUGUGAAACUCCUUCGACGAGUCGAGUUGUUUGGGAAUGCAGCUCAAAAUGGGUGGUAAAUUUCAUCUAAAGCUAAAUAUUGGCCAGAGACCGAUAGCGCACAAGUAGAGUGAUCGAAAGAUGAAAAGCACUUUGAAAAGAGAGUUAAACAGUAUGUGAAAUUGUUGAAAGGGAAGCGCUUGUAAUCAGACUUGAGCUUAACAGUUCCCCCUUCGUUCUCGUUGGGUUAUUCUGUUUUGUCCAGGCCAACAUCAGUUCGGGUGGUUGGUUAAAGACUUUAGGAAUGUAUCUACCUUUCGGGGUCGACUUAUAGCCUAGAGUGUCAUGCAGCCUACCUGGACUGAGGAACGCGCUUCGGCUCGGAUGUUGGCGUAAUGGUUAUAAGCGACCCGUCUUGAAACACGGACCAAGGAGUCUAACAUCUAUGCGAGUCUUCGAGUGUCAAACUCAUAGGCGUAAUGAAAGUGAACGGAGGUAAGAAGCCUUUAGGCUGCAUUAUCGACCGAUCUUGAUGUCUUCGGAUGGAUUUGAGUAAGAGCAUAGCUGUUGGGACCCGAAAGAUGGUGAACUAUGCCUGAAUAGGGUGAAGCCAGAGGAACUCUGGUGGAGGCUCGCAGCGGUUCUGACGUGCAAAUCGAUCGUCAAAUUUGGGUAUAGGGGCGAAAGACUAAUCGAACCAUCUAGUAGCUCGUUCCUGUC